rnacentral:lncRNA from 1 species
GCUUUGGAUCUCUUUAGGAGUCCGGAAUGCAACAUUAUUAGGCUGUUCUAAAUUUACUUCUGCAUUCUCAGAAUUAUUUCUAAGUUCUGUUGAAGAAGCUGUUUUAUCUGCUUUCUUCUGGAAAGUUAGGAUGAUUAUAAUCCUGCAUUAGGUUUUCAUGGAGGUGGAGGUUGAAAUUCAGGAGGAGUUGGGGGAAGGGAGGACAAAGAGAAUCCUCCUAAGGUUAAGUGACUUGCCUUAUGUGACACAGAUAAUAAGCAGCAUGGUAAGAAUUUACUACUAAACUGUCAGCUUUGUUGGGAGUGAGAGGUUCAAGGAACAUGAAUUAUGUUUCAUUUCAUUUUUGGAUUUCCCUAUAGCUUGGAUAAUGGAAAUGAUUACUGAAUAAAAUUAAACAGAGGUGAUAGUUCA